AAUUGUAGCAUAGCAGAGGAACGUGCCCCUCUAACAUACAGAGUUAAAUUAGUUAUUGGUGUGUGGCAACAAUUCUCAGUGUAACAUUAAAGCAGUUGAUGUUCUUACUGGUGGUAAACUUCAUCUCUCCUGCUUUUCCACAUACUUACAGCACUGACCCAUGGCAACGACAACUUCCAAGCCGAAUGCCCCAAAUUGGCAGUCAUCUGCCCUUUAAACAGCCUCAACGCCACCAACAAACCAUUUCCAGUGAAAACUGUUGCUGUGAAAUGCUUUUCAGACUACAUGGAGAUAGUCGUGAAUGCUGAUUUUUGUUUAAAAUUGGUACGCUUAUCGACAUGGCUGACCUGCGCCUUGGAGUUGAACAGUACCAAGCUCAGGAGUCCUGUCGGGCUACAGUUUCAGCAGCCGGAGAUGAGUACAGAAUAUUUGCAGCACUAUCGGACUGUGGAACGAAGCAUAUGGAAGUACAGUUUGAACAGUCUCUCUCCAGUCGACCUGGAUCCACUUUACCGCCACAGUGUCUGCUGAGGACACGCUGCAGUUCUCCUUGAUGCUCAUGACAAGUGACUGGCUUUAUGAGCGGGGUUCAGGAGUCUACUUCCUGGGUGAUCCCAUCAACGUGGAGGUGUCUGUCAGGGUCGCUCACCACACCAGGCUCAGGUUCUUUGUUAGCAGCUGCACGGCAGCACUGGACCCAGACUGGAACUCUGUCCCCAGAUACGUCUUUCCCCAGUGCUUGAUGGAUUCCCAGUUGCCUGACUCCAGGUUCAUGCGUAGAACCCAGGACGACAAGCUCCGCUUCCACAUUGAUGCCUUUAGGUUCCACCAGGAGCUGUACAUCACAUGCCACCUUAUGGCAGUCCCUGUCAUGGACCAUGCAGAGCCUAGCAACAAGGCAUGCUCCUUCAUCGACGGUGGAAGUCUGCCGACGAGAAUGAUUUGCUAUGUGGCCGUUGUCCAAGUCUGAAUAGCCAGAAGGGGGGCGCUCCAGCACGCUGUCCCCUCGGUGAAAGAUUAGGCAGUAGCCCACCUGAACCUCGUGGCUACCACAGCAAACCCCCAGGCUCUGGUGACCACUGGAGGAGUGGGAUGAAGACCAACAAAGACAAAAGAAGUUGUCCAUCCACAUGGCUUCCCCUCUGCUACAGACAACGCAAGGCCUGCAUCACCUAGCAGUUGUUGGAAGAGUGGCAUGGACUUCAAGAGGACCUUAUUUCGUCCAGUCGCAAAAUGCGGUGGUCAUGGACCCAAGAAAUAUGGUUUCGUUAGCUCUGCAACAUAUGAUGGCAUCAGGCAGAAGGAACUGAUUGAGCAGAGAGACCCUCAGUUGAAUCCUACCCCUGAGACCAUUGGAGCAAAGAUGACUAGAGAUUACUCAUGAACUGGAAGUUGAUGUUGCUGUGGUGACCACAUUUGGUCUCGCAGCACUCCAACUCACUGAGGGAUGUCCUGAAGUCCCAGCACAAGGUUGAGCCUACAACUACCAAAUGACCUCUGCACUUUCCUCACAUCUGUUCCUGAUGAGGUCAACAAUGCUGAGAACUCAACCUUUGAUACCAAACACCAAGGGGACACUCAAAGGAACAAGAUCAACCCAAGUGGUGACUGUCAACCUCACAAAAAUGAAUUAAAGCUACU